GCAAAGAAGGGCAUCAUAGGAACUACAGCAGCCUAUACUUCCACAGUUCUGUUUCAUGAAAAGGGUCAAGGUACUCUGAUAAGAGCUGAGUCUACAUUGAUGAACACAACCAACAAGGGACCCCUACCCAUGAGGAGUUUCACUGUCUUAUAGAAGAGUCCGUUACUUAACUAUUCCAGCAAGGAGAAAAACAUAAAUGGUUGUUAUUGGUCAGCUGGGAGACUCUUCAAUUCUGAGCCAGCUUUGUUCAUCUCUACAGGCAACAGGCAGCUCUUCUGAAGCUGGGUGGUCUGGGAUCAUUUCAAUUGCCUAUCUGUCAGCUGGAAGGUCAGAUCGUCUAGAGCCCUUCAGCUGGUCUCUCAUUUUCCAGUUAACCUGGGUGUCUUCAUAUGGUGGUGGAAAGUUUUCCAGAUGCAAGAGAGGGCAAGUUCCAAGGUACAAGUCCUUUUCAAGUUUCUGCUCACAUUCAUGUUUGGCUUUUUGACCAAACCAGGUGAAAAACCCCAAGCCCCCAAGCAACUGAAGAUUCAAGUAGUAAAGAUUCUCCUCUUUGUUGGGAAGAACAAAAAAGUAACAUUGUAUGGCAGGAAUUUUCUUAUAGAAAUGGCAGGAAUUUAUAAUAAUUCAUUUGUAAUCUACCAUUAUGUAUUCUACAGUAAAAUUUACUCUUCUCGGUCAAUGAAUGUCAAUGAGCAUAAUAUUAUGUAAAUGCUAGUUUAUUUGUAGGUUGAUUCAGGUUCUUGAAUUCAAAAAAAAGUCAAUAUUAAUUCAGGAGCUGUUUUUGGAAAGUAACAUUUAUUUAUAAGUAGAGAUUAGGAAACAUACUUUAUCAAGAAAAAAGCCAAACAUUUAAGAAUUAUUUGAGUACAAUAAUCAAAGCAAGUUGGUUAGGAUAAAGAAAGGCUGACCUCUGCUUUGACUCUAAGGUGAAGCCUUUUCAGCUCCACUAGUAGGAUACUCAGUCUUUUAGUUGGUAUAAUGUGUAUAGGUCUCUAUGGUUUUUUCUUUGCUUUUCUCUGUUCCACUCUCAAUGGCCUAUACUUUCAUCCACACACCAUCACCUAUAUUAUAAUGACUCCCAGUCCAUAUCUUCAGCUUUGACCUGUCUUUUGAGUGACAGACCUAUUUAAUUAAUUGACUCCUUGGUUAUCUCUAGAAGGCUUUGCCCAUAGGUAGUCCAACCUAGGCAUGUCUAAAUCUGAACUCAUUGCUAUCUGCCCAAACUUUUUUCUCCUACUGCAAUCUCUAACUUAGUGAGCGGUAAUGCCAAAAUCUAUUUCAUGUCCAAACUGGUGACUGUACAAUUAGCUGAGGCUCUUUCCUCCUAUUAUUGCCUCCUUUUUGCCCCUUUAAUAUUUCUGGGUUUUAGCUCCUCCAGUUCCACUGCAUCUGUCCCAAUCAGACUCCUCAGCUCAUCUCUCUGCUUUCAAGUUUUCCCCAAAUGCUUGCAAUCCCUUGAAUUCCUAGAGCUUUCAAACUAAUUUUAAUAUUUGCCUAAAUGAGGUAAAUUAAGAAUGCAAAUUUAAUGUAAAUAAUUAUGUUUUCAAAACCCAAUUUCUAGAAAAAGUGUUUUAAGAUGUGAAUUUCAUCAUGUCAUUCCAAAGCUUCCAACAAGAAACUCCUGAAAUCUCCAGGAUAUGAUCCACUUCUUAUCCUGGAAAACAAAUCUCUCUAGGAUCUGACCUCUGGGUUCCAUCAGGGGAAACUGCCAAGAUGCUUUGUGAUAUCUCUUGCUUCCUUGUCCAAGCUGAUCCCUUGCCUUUAUUAUCCUUCUUGAUCUCUUUCCUUCUCCACAUGAUUAACUCUUGCUCAUUCUUUAAGAAAUCUAAGGCCGUCUUCCUUGGGAAGUGCUCAUAAGUUAACAACCAGACCUAGGUGGGUGGUCCACUGCUUUCCCUUAUAUGGUGUACAACUAUCAUAAAUCACAUCCCAUAGUUUUUAACUGGUAAUUUACUUAGGUCUUCUCUGUUGUUGAUCUGUGUGAUCUUAGCAGUUAAAACAGUCCCUGACACAGAGCAAGUUCUUGAUACUUGUAUUACUGAGAUUGAAUGAAUUGAUCGAAUGAACGAGUGAAUGGAUGAAGGAUGUGAGGAGAGUAUGAUUAGAUUGGAGUUGUCCGUGUGCCCUGGCUAGAUCUCCACCAUACAUGCAUGGUGGGACUAUUUAUUAUUCAGAGGUAAUUUAUAUAAGCCUCGGUGUUGGAAGGAAUGCAUGUAGAGUUUAAGUUAAAAUUCAACUGAGGAUAGGAGUGGGAUCAGGUUGAGAAUGGGAACAGCUCUGCUUCUGAAAAUUUAGAAGUCAUUUAUAAGUUAUUUUAUCAUUGAAAAAGGAGGUCUGUUAGACAUUUGUCUCAAUAAAAUUGGGGGGAUUCAUUUUCUUUAUUAUUUGUUGCUAACUCUUAGUCUCUGCUGGGAUUCUCUCUAAACUCUAAUAUUCUUCUAACCCUGAUAUCACUGAGUGUUUUCCUAGAGAAUUUAAACUAAUUUUAAUACUUGCCUAAGAGGCAAAUUGGGAAUGUAAAUUUAAUGUAAAUAAUUGUGUUUUUCAAAACCCAAUUUAAAUCGUUUUGGAAUAUCUGCUGUUUUAGAUUAUUCAGAUCAAUGCUUCUAGCAUCUAACCAUGGAUAAUGCAGUUGUAGAUGAUUAGUAAAUUGAACCUGAUUUUCUGUAUUUAUAAGUAAGUUUGGUGGUAACAAUAGAUUUUCCUGCACUUUCAUUUUGGUGUAUUCUGCUUUGAAAGAGAGAUUAUCUUCUAUAAAUGGAGUUCUUUUGAUUUGCAUCUUUAUAAUACAUCAGGAGUGGUGUUAAGAAGACAUUUCUAUCAUUGAUGUAAAUAUCUAUCUACUCAGUGAAAAGAAGAGUUUUAUCACUAACUUUUUGUCCCACUAUCUUUCUUUCCCAGGUACAGUGGGUUCUUAGUCAAUAUCUUCAUUUUUCCCAGCAGUGCAUUUCUCGACCAUUUACCUGCAACCACUGACUGCUCCAUUUUUUUUGUUUUGUUUUGUUUUGGUUUUUUUGCUUAUGCUCUGGCUAUUAUUUUCCCUUCUAUUUUUUGAGAAAAGAAAGCUAUCAGAUAAAACACUUUUUAACUGCCUGCCAUGAAACUUGGUAGGAAUUAUACCCUUUCUUGUCUUUCCUCUUUCUCUCACAAAGUAGGAGGACUCAUUCUCUAAGGCUUGACCUGGCAUCUUUGCCUAGAAUCCAUCUUUCUCCAGACCUCAGUGUUUCCCCAUUAAUAUUUGAACACCCUCAAGACUCUCCCAUCUUGUAACUUCACAUUCCAGUCCAGGGUUUGCAUUAACUCUCUUUUGUUUUAGAGCCAAAUAUCUUGAAAGGGUUGUAUAUUUCACUUGUCCCCCUUUCCCUCCUCUUGACUUACUUCCUACUUAGUCUACAACUCAUUUUAUUCUGAAUUCUGAUCCAUCUCUUCACUUAAACUUGUCAAGUUUAUCAUUGUCCUUGUCUCUAAAUGCAAUAGGUAUCUUGAAGUUUUUAUUUUAUUGUCUUGAACAUUCAAUACUAACUGUCCCCUGUCAACAGAAUAAGAUUAUCCAACAAGUAGACUAAACAUAUGCUUGAGGCUCUUGCAGAAUCAAAGAAAAAUUGAAGAAAAUUAGCUUCAGUGAAUUUACCUAAAUUCUUCCAUCAGAAGUUUAGAAAGAAACUAUUUUAAUUUCAGCAUAUAUGUUGGUUUCGUGCUUCAUGAAUGGACAGAUAUAUAAUAUAUGAUAGUUUUAAUAUACAUAUAUAAAAUCUAUACUUAGGUUUUAAAUUCCUAUGUCAGAGAGAAUAUUACAAUCUUCUAAUGUCUCUAAAAGCUUUAAACUAGCUCCCACUUUCUGGAACUCUCUUCCAUUACUUUUGUGCUGCUAUCAAUUCCUGGUUUCUCAUGAACAUCUCUUACUGCUGUUACUUCCUCUGCAGGAUCUUUAAAUGUUGAUGUUCUUUGGGGUUUUGUCCUGACCUGUCUCCUUUUCUCACCCUAACCAAAGUCACUGGAUGAGCUCAUCUACAUCCAAGCUUCAGUUUUUCUCUCUGUGAUGAUACCUGCCCAAACUACAUCUGUGUGUUAGACCUCCUUUCUGAGUUCUUCAUUAAUAUACCAAAUAUUGGACAUUGCCCCUCACAUACAUAUAUUGGAGAUGAUUCAAGUUUACCAUGCUCCCAAAUGAUUUCAAUGUGUUUCUCCAUAAGUUUCUCCUUUCUCCUCAGUGUUCAUCACUUCGAUGAAUGAUACUACAGUCCAAACCAGAAACCUGAGAUUUUUACAUAAGUCCUCCCAGUCCUUUGUCAUUAUAACCAAUCAAUCACCAAGUCCUAGGAUUCUGCUCCCUGUUAUGCCUUGAUUAUGCUUACUUCUUUCCCCAGCCACUAACACAAUAUUAUAGGCCACCAUCAUUUCUUUUUUUAAUUACUAUGAUAAUCUUCUAAUGGAUACUUUCCAGUCUAUUCUCCAAUUUAGAACCCAAGUGAUUAAAAAAAUAAUAAACAAUGUCAUCUUGUUUCUCUCCUGUAUAAAGUCAGUACUUUUAAGAUAACUUAAAAAUCUUUCGUGGGUACAUCCAGACAAUGGAACACCAUUCAGCACUCAAAAGAAAUAUGCUAUUAAGCCAUGAAAAGAUAUGGAAGAAACUUACCUUUUUAGCAUAAUACUAAGUGAAAGAAGGCAAUCUGAAAAAGCUAUAUACUGUAUGGCUCCAACUGUGUAACAUUCUGAAAGAGGCAAAAUGAUGGAGAGGGUAAAAAAAAGAUAGGUGGUUUCCAGGGGUGAAGGGAGAGGGAAGAAUAAAUAGGCAGAGCACAGAGGAUUUUUUGAGUAGUGAAAGAUUCUGUUUGAUACCAAAAUGGUGGGUACAUGGUGUUAUACAUGUGUUAAAAUCCAUAGAAUGUAAUACCAAGAGUGAACUGUGGACUUGGGGUGAUGUGUCAAUAUGUGUGGACUAUUUUGGACUAUGUGUCAAUAUAUGUUCAUCCAUUAAUAAAUCUACCACUUUGGUGCCCGGUGUUGAUAGUGGCAGAGGCCGUACGUGUAUAAGGACAGGGGUAUAUGGGGACUCUCUGUACUUGGUGCUCAGUCUU